GAGAAGUUAAAAAAAAUCGAGAGGUUUUUCCUCCCACCCACACGCCAUUGUUGAAAUUUAAAAGAGUCUAGUAGUUUGGCUUAAAGAUUUCAAGCAAAAGAAUACCGUGUGGAUGCCAAGGAAAGCAUGCAUGUUGGUGAUUCAUAAAGAAUGUGAAAUUACACUACCAAAGAGCUUGAGAUUUCUUGGUUUAGAUCAAGAUAAAUUAUUGAGGAAAGGUAAGUAAUCAACUCAAGUGCAUCAUGCAACACAUCGAGACUUGCUGCAACGUAGGUAAUGGCAUCUUUUAGACUUUUACCUUGAGUCGCUCCACUACCUAGGUGUUGUGUAACAUAAAGCUACUAGAUUGUAUAAAA